CACGGGGGGAGCAAGCGUUGUUCGGAAUCACUGGGCGUAAAGGGCGUGUAGGCGGUCAGGUAAGUGAGAUGUGAAACGCCCCGGCUCACCCGGGGACCUGCAUCUCAAACUGCCUGGCUUGAGUAUGGGAGAGGAUGAGGGAAUUCCUGGUGUAGCGGUGAAAUGCGUAGAUAUCAGGAGGAACACCGGUGGCGAAAGCGCUCAUCUGGCCCAAUACUGACGCUGAGGCGCGCAAGCUAGGGGAGCAAACGGG
rnacentral:rRNA from 1 species